rnacentral:rRNA from 1 species
CGGAACACGUACGCAACCUUCCUUUAACUGGAGGAUAGCCCCUCGAAAGAGGGAUUAAUACUCCGUAACAUAAUGAUAAGGCAUCUUAUUAUUAUUAUAGCUCCGGCGGUUAAAGAUGGGCGUGCGACUGAUUAGAUAGUUGGCGGGGUAACAGCCCACCAAGUCUGCGAUCAGUAACUGGUGUGAGAGCACGACCAGUCACACGGGCACUGAGACACGGGCCCG